UCUCUGGUGGUCCAGUGGCUAGGACUCCACACUCCCAAUGUAGGGGCCCCAGGUUCGAUCCCUGGUCGGGGAA
rnacentral:tRNA from 1 species